CCCUAUUUUCUCAAUGACAGAAAUGUAUAUGCCUGCAGUGCAGCUCUGUACCUGAGCCUCAUUUAAAUUAUUGUUUUGGUGACUCGCUCUUCAAGUUGUGGUGGGACUCCUUGUCACGAAGAUUUGUGCCACUGAGAUAAAUAUUAAUGAUUACCGAGCACUAAUCUAGAGAUGUCUUCACUGUCAAAGAUGUGGAAAUUAGUGUACUUUCAUGAUUUCAUCCCAAAGAGGAAGUUAUUGAAGAGAAGAACAAGUGUUCCUUCAGUAGGGCUGCCUUCCUAAAGGAUCUAAGAAGGAGUUUUAAAGCACCAGCAGCGGGGUUCCUUCGGCAGAAAGCCUUGAUUGAGAUGCUAAAGGCAAUGAGAACUAAGUGGAGCCGCUAAUUAGACACUUUGACUGAGCAGAGUGGGGAAAGCGAGCCCCAUGGAACAGCAGGCAUGGCCUAUGUGCCCGAUAUCUGACAACCCACAUUUUCAGGCUGCAGAGAAAGAAGAAAAUGUUCACCAUUUUAGAGUGGCUGAUAAGAAACGGGGACAGAAGCUACACCCUCCAGAUGACCAUUUCUGAUGAGCAGGAGUCUCACUUAUUAACGGAGUAAGGAUUGAUCAGGAGACAUGAAUUCUUAACAAGCAUCCUUAGACUUUUUCGAGAGGCAACUCUAACCAAGCUGAGAAUCGUCGGCGAGUAUUUUUAGGCACAAGGAUGCAUGAUUAAGAUCAAAGCCCUGCACUUGAUGACUUUCAGAGUUUGUUAAGCACCGUAACACGGGGCUGAAAUUCAAUUUGAACCACUCGUCAGCUUGUCUUUCACUCUCCCCUUUGGGUAGAGUGUGAUUUUAAUACCAGAGUUGGCUCUGGCAUUAUUAUAUUUUGAUACAACAGAAUAAAUUAUCACAUCUCCAGCUCGACAAAAA